AGAGUUUGAUCAUGGCUCAGAGCGAACGCUGGCGGCGUGCUUAACACAUGCAAGUCGAACGCGCAGCAUACUGUAGCAAUACAGGGUGUGGGCGCGUGGCGAACGGGUGCGUAACACGUGGAUAACCUUCCUUCAGGUGGGGAAUAACCCAGUGAAAAUUGGGCUAAUACCGCAUAACAUGACGAUGGCACAUGCUGUUGUCUUCAAAGGCGCAAGUCGCCAGAAGAGGGAUCCGCGGCCGAUUAGCUUGUUGGCGAGGUAAUGGCUCACCAAGGCAUUGAUCGGUAGCCGGACUGAGAGGUUGACCGGCCACACUGGAACUGAGACACGGUCCAGACUCCUACGGGAGGCAGCAGUGGGGAAUCUUGCACAAUGGACGAAAGUCUGAUGCAGCAACGCCGCGUGGGGGAUGAAGCUUCUCGGAGUGUAAACCCCUUUCGACCCGGAAGAAUGCCCGCAAGGGCUUGACGGUACGGGUAUAAGAAGCCCCGGCUAACUACGUGCCAGCAGCCGCGGUAAUACGUAGGGGGCCAGCGUUGCUCGGAAUUACUGGGCGUAAAGGGUCCGUAGGCGGUGCGGCAAGUCGAGAGUGAAACCCCUAGGCUUAACCUAGGGGCUGCUAGCGAAACUGCCGUGCUAGAGUGUGAGAGAGGCGAGUGGAAUUACGGGUGUAGCGGUGAAAUGCGUAGAUAUCCGUAGGAACACCCGAGGCGAAAGCGGCUCGCUGGAUCACAACUGACGCUGAGAGACGAAAGCUAGGGGAGCAAACAGGAUUAGAUACCCUGGUAGUCCUAGCCCUAAACCGUCAGGACUUGGGGUUUGCCCUGUACGGGGCAAGUCCCGUAGCUAACGCGUUAAGUCCUGCGCCUGGGGAGUACGGUCGCAAGGCUGAAACUCAAAGGAAUUGACGGGGGCCCGCACAAG
rnacentral:rRNA from 1 species